rnacentral:rRNA from 1 species
CCUACGGGCGGCAGCAGUGGGGGAUAUUGCACAAUGGGGGAAACCCUGAUGCAGCGACGCCGCUUGAGUGCCGCCUUCUUUCCUUCUGUUCCGCUCUCUCCGCCGGGCAGCAAAUGACAGUACCUGACCAAGAAGCCCCGGCUAACUACGUGCCAGCAGCCGCGGUAAUACGUAGGGGGCAAGCGUUAUCCGGAUUUCAUGGGUGUAAAGGGAGCGUAGACGGUUAUGUAAGUCUGGAGUGAAAGCCCGGGGCCCAACCCCGGGCCUGCUUUGGACCCUGUGUCACUGGAGUACAGGAGGGGCAGGCGGAAUUCCUGGUGUAGCGGUGAAAUGCGUAGAUAUCAGGAGGAACACCGGCGGCGAAGGCGGCCUGCUGGACUGAAACUGACGUUGAGGCUCGAAAGCGUGGGGAGCAAACAGGAUUAGAUACCCUUGUAGUC